UGGGGAAUCUUAGACAAUGGGGGAAACCCUGAUCUAGUCAUGCCGCGUGAGUGAUGAAGGCCCUAGGGUCGUAAAGCUCUUUCGCCAGGGAUGAUAAUGACAGUACCUGGUAAAGAAACCCCGGCUAACUCCGUGCCAGCAGCCGCGGUAAUACGGAGGGGGUUAGCGUUGUUCGGAAUUACUGGGCGUAAAGCGCACGUAGGCGGACUAUUAAGUGAGGGGUGAAAUCCCGGGGCUCAACCCCGGAACUGCCUCUCAUACUGGUAGUCUUGAGUUCGAGAGAGGUGAGUGGAAUUCCGAGUGUAGAGGUGAAAUUCGUAGAUAUUAGGAAGAACACCGGUGGCGAAGGCGGCCAUCUGGUCCGGCACUGACGCUGAGGCGCGAAAGCGUGGGGAGCAAACAGGAUUAGAUACCCCCGUAGUCC
rnacentral:rRNA from 1 species